rnacentral:rRNA from 1 species
ACGGGAGGCAGCAGUGGGGAAUAUUGGGCAAUGGGCGAAAGCCUGACCCAGCAACGCCGCGUGAGGGAAGAAGGUCUUCGGAUUGUAAACUUCUUUUAUAAGGGACGAAGAAAGUGACGGUACCUUAUGAAUAAGCCACGGCUAACUACGUGCCAGCAGCCGCGGUAAUACGUAGGUGGCAAGCGUUAUCCGGAUUUACUGGGUGUAAAGGGCGUGUAGGCGGAGCUGCAAGUCAGAUGUGAAAUCCCGGGGCUCAACCCCGGAACUGCAUUUGAAACUGUAGCCCUUGAGUAUCGGAGAGGCAAGCGGAAUUCCUAGUGUAGCGGUGAAAUGCGUAGAUAUUAGGAGGAACACCAGUGGCGAAGGCGGCUUGCUGGGCGACAACUGACGCUGAGGCGCGAAAGCGUGGGGAGCAAACAGGAUUAGAUACCCUGGUA